GUCUGAUUUUUAUUUCCUAUUUGUGACUUUUCCUUUAUCCCUGAGUCCUACUCGUGUGUCUCCGUUGUCUUCCUCCGCCCGAUUUUCGUGACUAGUAUUAGCCCUUGGUUGUUUCUCUGUUCUUGGCUGUGCUUACGUUUCUGUAACUGAACUGUCAACGUUCGAUGUCCUUUUAUUCCCAGUCAUUACAGGUGAAGGAAUUGGGGAGGCUCAUCCCAGUUUCCACCUUCCUUCCCUGUUCUUUUCGUUGUAGCCGGUUCUGUUAUCUCACCCUUCCAUACUGUUUUUUAAUCUGCCUUUUCCGGUUCGACACGUUCAGUGCUCACCUGGGCCUGCAGCUGGGGCUGCCCAUCAGCACAGAUGUUCUCCAGCACGACUCUCAGGAAGAAGGGCUCGUGGGGACAACACUCCCUUCGGUCUUACCUGUUGGCUUCUUUGAAGUAAAGAAAAACUGAAGCGAAUGCAAGUUAUCUACCAGCCCUUCAAGCAAAACAAAACGGCUCGAAGACGCACCUUUCGCGCCACGAAAGGAGCCAAAGUGAAGAAUCCAAGGGGAGGAAGCCAGGAAGAGAAAAGUGAAACCAACAAGGCAAUAAUCUACAGCACAGACAACUGUGAUACAGGCACAUACACGGCGACGCAAACGUUAAAAAUACUUUUUUAGAUGAAACUUACAUAACCUAAAGGCUUUAUCAGUAACGGCGACACAAACGUUAAAAAUACUUUUUUAGAUAAAACUUACAUAACCUAAAGGCUUUAUCAGUAACGGCGACACAAACGUUAAAAAUAUUUUUUUAGGGGCGCCUGGGUGGCGCAGUCGGUUAAGCGUCCGACUUCAGCCAGGUCACGAUCUCGCGGUCGGUGAGUUCGAGCCCCGCGUCAGGCUCUGGGCUGAUGGCUCGGAGCCUGGAGCCUGUUUCCGAUUCUGUGUCUCCCUCUCUCUCUGGCCCUCCCCCGUUCAUGCUCUGUCUCUCUCUGUCCCGAAAAUAAAUAAAAACGUUGAAAAAAAAAUUUAAAAAAA
rnacentral:lncRNA from 1 species